GACGAACGCUGGCGGCGUGCUUAACACAUGCAAGUCGAACGGAAAGGCCCUGCUUUUGUGGGGUGCUCGAGUGGCGAACGGGUGAGUAACACGUGAGUAACCUGCCCUUGACUGUGGGAUAACUUCAGGAAACUGGGGCUAAUACCGGAUAGGAGCUCCUGCUGCAGGGUGGGGGUUGGAAAGUUUCGGCGGUUUGGGCUGGACUCGCGGCUUAUCAGCUUGUUGGUGGGGUAGUGGCUUACCAAGGCUUUGGCGGGUAGCCGGCCUGAGAGGGUGGCCGGCCACCUUGGGACUGCGAUACGGCCCAGACUCCUACGGGAGGCAGCAGUGGGGAAUAUUGCACAAUGGGGGGGAGCCUGAUGCAGCAACGCCGCGUGCGGGAUGCCGGCCUUCUGGUUGUAAACCGCUUUCGCCUGUGACGAAGCGUGAGUGACGGUACUGGGUAAAGAAGCACCGGCUAACUACGUG
rnacentral:rRNA from 1 species